rnacentral:rRNA from 1 species
CGCAGCCGCGGUAAUUCCAGCUCCAAUAGCGUAUAUUAAAGUUGUUGCAGUUAAAAAGCUCGUAGUUGAAUUUCGGGAUCAAUAUUUCGGUCAUGCCGUUGGUAUGCACUGUUAUCAUUGAUUUCUCACCUUCUAAAGAACCGUAAUGCCAUUAAUUUGGUGUUACGGGGAAUUAGGACUGUUACCUUGAAAAAAUUAGAGUGUUUAAAGCAGGCUCACGCUUGAAUACAUUAGCAUGGAAUAAUGAAAUAGGACAUCCGAUUCUAUUUUGUUGGUUUCUAGGAUCGAUGUAAUGAUUAAUAGGGAUAGUUGGGGGCAUUAGUAUUCAAUUGUCAGAGGUGAAAAUUCUUGGAUUUACUGAAGACUAAACUACUGCGAAAGCAAUUUGCCAAGGAUGUUUUCAUUAAUCAAGAACGAAAGUUAGGGGAUCGAGGACGAUCAGAUACCGUC